GUAGGUGGCAAGCGUUGUCCGGAAUUAUUGGGCGUAAAGCGCGCGCAGGCGGUUCUUUAAGUCUGAUGUGAAAGCCCACGGCUCAACCGUGGAGGGUCAUUGGAAACUGGAGAACUUGAGUACAGAAGAGGAAAGCGGAAUUCCACGUGUAGCGGUGAAAUGCGUAGAGAUGUGGAGGAACACCAGUGGCGAAGGCGGCUUUUCUGGUCUGUAACUGACGCUGAGGCGCGAAAGCGUGGGGAGCAAACAGGGAUUAGAUACCCUGGUAGUCCACGCCGUAAACGAUGAGUGCUAAGUGUAGGGGGUUUCCGCCCCCUUAGUGCUGCAGCUAACGCAUUAAGCACUCGCCUGGGGAUACGGCCGCAAGGCUG
rnacentral:rRNA from 1 species